rnacentral:rRNA from 1 species
UGAGGAAUAUUGGUCAAUGGACGGAAGUCUGAACCAGCCAAGUAGCGUGCAGGAUGACGGCCCUAUGGGUUGUAAACUGCUUUUGUAUGGGGAUAAAGUUAGGGACGUGUCCCUAUUUGCAGGUACCAUACGAAUAAGGACCGGCUAAUUCCGUGCCAGCAGCCGCGGUAAUACGGAAGGUCCAGGCGUUAUCCGGAUUUAUUGGGUUUAAAGGGAGCGUAGGCUGGAGAUUAAGUGUGUUGUGAAAUGUAGACGCUCAACGUCUGAAUUGCAGCGCAUACUGGUUUCCUUGAGUACGCACAACGUUGGCGGAAUUCGUCGUGUAGCGGUGAAAUGCUUAGAUAUGACGAAGAACUCCGAUUGCGAAGGCAGCUGACGGGAGCGCAACUGACGCUUAAGCUCGAAGGUGCGGGUAUCAAACAGGAUUAGAUACCCUGGUAGUCCGCACAGUAAACGAUGGAUGCCCGCUGUUGGUACCUGGUAUCAGCGGCUAAGCGAAAGCAUUAAGCAUCCCACCUGGGGAGUACGCCGGCCGGU